rnacentral:rRNA from 1 species
CAGAGGAGCUUGCUCCUCGUGGUGACCAGUGGCGGACGGGUGAGUAAUGUCUGGGAAACUGCCCGAUGGAGGGGGAUAACUACUGGAAACGGUAGCUAAUACCGCAUAACGUCGCAAGACCAAAGUGGGGGACCUCCGGGCCUCACACCAUCGGAUGUGCCCAGAUGGGAUUAGCUUGUAGGCGGGGUAACGGCCCACCUAGGCGACGAUCCCUAGCUGGUCUGAGAGGAUGACCAGCCACACUGGAACUGAGACACGGUCCAGACUCCUACGGGAGGCAGCAGUGGGGAAUAUUGCACAAUGGGCGCAAGCCUGAUGCAGCCAUGCCGCGUGUAUGAAGAAGGCCUUCGGGUUGUAAAGUACUUUCAGCGGGGAGGAAGGUGCUGAGGUUAAUAACCUCAUCAAUUGACGUUACCCGCAGAAGAAGCACCGGCUAACUCCGUGCCAGCAGCCGCGGUAAUACGGAGGGUGCAAGCGUUAAUCGGAAUUACUGGGCGUAAAGCGCACGCAGGCGGUCUGUUAAGUCAGAUGUGAAAUCCCCGGGCUUAACCUGGGAACUGCAUUUGAAACUGGCAGGCUUGAGUCUCGUAGAGGGGGGUAGAAUUCCAGGUGUAGCGGUGAAAUGCGUAGAGAUCUGGAGGAAUACCGGUGGCGAAGGCGGCCCCCUGGACGAAGACUGACGCUCAGGUGCGAAAGCGUGGGGAGCAAACAGGAUUAAAAUACCCUGGUUAGUCCACCCCGUAAACGAUGUCGACUUGGAAGGUUGUUCCCUUUGAGGAAUGGCUU